UACGUAGGGGGCAAGCGUUGUCCGGAUUUACUGGGCGUAAAGCGCCUGUAGGCGGCCUGUCAAGUCCGGCCUGAAAGCCCCCCGCUCAACGGGGGAGGGUGGCUGGAAACUGGCAGGCUUGAGGGCGAGAGAGGAGGGUGGAAUUCCUGGUGUAGAGGUGAAAUUCGUAGAUAUUCGGCGGAACACCAGUGGCGAAGGCGACUCACUGGCCCGAUACUGACGCUGAGGCGCGAAAAGCGUGGGGAGCAAACAGG
rnacentral:rRNA from 1 species